GGUGAGCAGAAAAAGGCAAAUCAACAAAUGAGAGUAGCGUACAGGGUAUAUAAACGCACCGCCGACACCACAAGCUUAUUAAGUUUUUCUGGAGGAGUUCUGCAGAGUACCGUGGGAGAAAAAGUGAACUGUCGGAGAAAAAGGCGUCCAGGUCUCUUCACACGUCCAGUUGCCGUUCCCCCUGACUUGGAUUCACAGCAAAUAUGAAGGUCUCCGUUCUACUGCUGACCGUACUGGUUCUCCUGGCGGCCGCCACAGCUGCAAUCGAUCUGGAGGACGUCAAGACCAAAAAGGACGCCCGAGAGUACUUGAAGGCGGCGAAGAAUAAGGUCAAGGCCGCCAAUGAGCUCCACAGCAGGAUGAAGGCCGAGGGCAGGGACAGGCUGGCCGAGAAGUUCCAGAAGAGGGCCAGGGCUCUGUUGAAAAGGGGCAAGAGGAGAAAGCAGCAGCAGCAGCAGCAGCAGGAUGACUGAAAUGACGAACGGAAAAGCACGCGAACUCUGUACGAUUCAGAAUGCUCUACUCGACUUAGCUAAUGCGAAAAUUGUCUACUUGUCAUAGUAUUGUCUACGUCAAAGAUCCCAUCUUCAUUUAAUUUGAUGCACGUGAAAUCUGGUCUAAAAUACAUCUUGGCUCCGUGCACGUUAAAUCUUACUCCAUGUAAAAUACAUCUUACAUCAUUGGACACUAACUAACGUACAGUAACUAACGUAAUUUUCAUGUCAUAGAUAUCCGAAUGUUCAUUAAAGAUGCCUUUGAUCAAAUUUUUUAUGAAUUGCUAUCAUGUGUUGCUGUCAAUUUUUCCUCACAGAAUUUUCUCCAAUUUUGAGCAAAACUAGCGUCCCACUUAUUAUAGCUACUACUCGGAUUAUUCACGUCUAGCUUCUGGUAAUUACCUCAAGGCAUAAAGAUUUCCCAUCUACCGGUAGAAAUCUGCACAUGAACAAAAAAGUUUAGUGUAUUAGGAAUAACAAAUUCCAGACUGUAUGCCUGACAAUAAAAGCAGAUUUGCAUAAUACU